CGUAACACGGUAUCUGUAGGUGAACCUGCAGAUGGAUCAUUCAUGUUUUAAAAAAUCUAUAAUUGAAUACGUUUUUUAUUUAAUUUAUUAAAUAAAAAAUGUGGAACAAUAUAAAGUUUGUUCAAAUAUAUUGAUAUAUUGACAACAUUUUCAAUAAUGUUGUAAAAAAAAAAAAANUUGAGAAAUAUCAAAUAGUUUUUUGAUGUUUUUCAAUUUUUUUUUUUUUUNGUAAUAUAUUUAAAUGUUAUAUUUAUGACUAUGUAAAUCAUUUAAUUAAAAUUAAAAAAAAANUUUUUAGCGAUGGAUGUCUUGGGUCUUGUUUCGAUGAAGAACGCAGCAAAUUGCGAUAAGCAGUAUGACUUGCAAAUUUCAAAGAAUCAUUAGAUUUUUGAACGCGAAAGGUGCCUUUUUGCUUUAAGCAGUAAGGCAUGUUCAGUUCAGCGCUCUUAUUUAUUGAAUUAAUGUGUUUUCACAUCUAUUCGCUAUUAAAUGCUAUAAUUCUUAUUAUGGCAUUUUGACUAUGAUACAAAAUUGAUUAUAAGUAAUAAUAUAUAUAAUCAAAUGUUUCUAAUUUCAUUAUGAGCCUGAGCUUGAACAAGGUUACCCGCUGAAUUUAAGCAUAUUAAUAAGCGGAGGAAAAGAAACUAACUAGGAUUUCCUUAGUAACGGCGAGUGAACAGGAAAAAGCUCGAGUUGAAAAUCAACAUUAUAUGUUGAAUUGUAGUCUCGUGAAACGUUACCAGUGG
rnacentral:rRNA from 1 species